CCCCAGACUCCUACGGGAGGCAGCAGUGGGGAAUAUUGCACAAUGGGGGAAACCCUGAUGCAGCGACGCCGCGUGAGCGAUGAAGUAUUUCGGUAUGUAAAGCUCUAUCAGUAGGGAAGAAAAUGACGGUACCUGACUAAGAAGCCCCGGCUAACUACGUGCCAGCAGCCGCGGUAAUACGUAGGGGGCAAGCGUUAUCCGGAUUUACUGGGUGUAAAGGGGGCGCAGACGGCGACGCAAGCCAGGAGUGAAAGCCCGGGGCCCAACCCCGGGACUGCUCUUGGAACUGCGUGGCUGGAGUGCAGUAGGGGCAGGCGGAAUUCCUGGUGUAGCGGUGAAAUGCGUAGAUAUCAGGAGGAACACCGGUGGCGAAGGCGGCCUGCUGGACUGCAACUGACGUUGAGGCCCGAAAGCGUGGGGAGCAAACAGGAUUAGAUACCCUGUAGAA
rnacentral:rRNA from 1 species